GGUGUAGAAUCUGUGGAGCUUGGAGGCUGUUGUGAGUAGCAAGGAUAAGCAAAUAAUCAAAUCAGCAAUGCAAAGUUGAAAAAAUGCUCAAUAAUGCUAGUCCUAGCUGCUGGAGUCGAUAAGAACGAAUUACAGAAAUAAUCUAAGCCUAGAUACAGAAGAAGGUAGGAUAGAAAGAUCAAAAUAAAGGUAAAACAAGUAAAUCUCUGGGAUUUUUUCUUUUCUCCUUUUCUGGCCUUCCGUUUGGCUUCUUAUUCUUUUCUUCUUCUUUUUUAUUUUUUUAACCCCAGAAACUCACGCAAAAGAAGUAAAGACUGGAAAACUGCAAGUCGGUCUGUCGAAAAACAGCAAAGGGUGUUGUAAGAAAACGUCAGAAAAAUAUGGAAAAAAUAUGGGUUAGGAGCGUAUCGAAACAAGCUUUCCAGCAAGUGCAAGAUCACUCAAAUCGGAGGCGGACGGUGGAGAUAAUGGAAAAACACCGGGCUACAGCGACGCCGGAAACCGGAUGCAGAAACUUGGAGCUCUUUAAGUGCACCUUACAAAUCGAAUUUGAGGGUCAAAGAGCAGUGCUAAUGCCCUGGAUAUUUUCUCGUGCGCUCUGUCGUGAGCUUUCCAAAAAGUACUAGAAGGUCCAUAUCCGAGUUGGUAUACAAAAGAUAUGCCCGUUUUACGGAACACGGGUCAAACGCACUCGGAACUAUAAUUCUCCUCAACGUGGAUCCGAAACUGAUUCUUUUUCUCUCUCUUUUUUUCGUUUUUUUCUUUCUUUCUUUCCUUUUUUUCCUUUCUUUUCUUUCCUUUCUUUUUUCACUACUUUCCGAAAAACAAAAUUCGAUCUAUUGUGAAACACUUUCCAAAAGCACUCUCGAUUGGACUCGGACUCGAACUCGGAGAAGGACUCAGUGUAGGACUCGAUGGAAGAUAUGGUGGUGGUGGAAGAUUGAUGGAGAAAAACCUGCGUCAAACGAAAUCGAAACACACAAAAACAAGUUUGAUCUAUUAGAAAAAUCUGAAAAACUAUCCAAUCUAAUCCAGCAACUCGACACGAUUAAUGCAUCAAAGAUUGAACAAUGCAAAUACUAAUGUGAAAAUUGCAAGGCUCAGAUUGGUGUUGGGAUGACGGUAAGUAAUCUAAUUUUUUUUGGCUAUUUCUGGACGAUAGGUAAAAACAGAUCUAAAUUAUGGAUAAAUUGAAAGAUCUCACCAAGCAAUCUUAAGCUUUGAUACCACGUGAUAGCCUCGAGGGUGUCCUGAUUUUUCGAUGAGAUACCUAAUUAUCGAUUUGGUAGGAGGUGACAUUGACGAUCCGACUACAACUUAGGAGGCAGCGCCUUAGCGAUCUAUACACCAACUUCAGAAGGUAAUUGAUCCCGUGGGGGCACGAUCAGCCUGACCAUGAAGGUCUUUGUUCCUACAAGCAAUCGAAGAACAAGCA
rnacentral:lncRNA from 1 species